UACGUAGGUGGCAAGCGUUGUCCGGAUUUAUUGGGUUUAAAGGGUGCGUAGGCGGCCCUGUAAGUCAGUGCUGAAAUAUCCCAGCUUAACUGGGAGGGUGGCAUUGAUACUGCGGGGCUAGAGUACAGAUGAGGUAGGCGGAAUUGACGGUGUAGCGGUGGAAUGCGCAGAUAUCAGGAGGAACACCGAUGGCGAAGGCAGUUCUCUGGGCCGUAACUGACGCUGAGGAGCGAAAGCGUGGGGAGCGAACAGG
rnacentral:rRNA from 1 species